CAAGAAGAGAAGCUCGAAGUCA
rnacentral:siRNA from 1 species